rnacentral:lncRNA from 1 species
AUGAGGCCGUGGGGAGCUGCCCCGAGGGGAUAUUUGGGAAAAGCCUGUUUCCACGUGGGAGAUGACUUGGAUCCCAGCACCCGCUGCCUCCCUUCUCCUGGCUGGCAAGACUUUGGAAGGGAGGUAUCAUCUGCAAAAGAGCAGCCCUCAGCACCGAAGGAGAUGACUUGGAGACCAGGGUGGACUUCAAGGGGAUGUUCCUGUCAAAAUCCCAUCCGUUAUCAGAGAUUUAAGAAAAGCCCUGAGGAGCUCUUGGGAAUGCCAUGCCUGAUGGGGAAGGCUGGGCUCUGGAGCCGAGGGCGGUGGGAAGGAGCCGGGAAGCUGCGCAAACCCCAGCUGAGUUAAAAAUAGCAAUUGAUAAAGCUGCAAAGUCUCGCACCUCGGAGGAGUUCAAGCCAGCAUUCCUCCUGCCUGAGCAACCCUCGCCUGUGCCGUGCUGUCACUUGUGCCAUGCUGUCACUUGUGCCAUGCUACGAACGCGGGCAUGGGAUUUAAAACACAAUUUCAUGCUGCUUUCCCCACUCCUGGGACCCCUCGGGGUCAGGAGGAGCUGAGCUGGGGUGAAGGCACAUCUAGGAGAUGCAAAGGUAGGACCCCGUUCUCCAGGGCCAGCAGCAUCUUGUCUUAACCACUCUAGGUGGGUCCAUCUACUCAUUCCUGGCAAUGAAUAACCCACCAAGUCCUGUAGGAAACAUACCCUGUGUCUG